AUGAACGCUAGCGGCAGGCUUAACACAUGCAAGUCAGGGGUAGAAGCAGCUUGCUGCUUUGAGACCGGCGCACGGGUGCGUAACGCGUAUGCAAUCUACCUUUUACAGAGGGAUAGCCCAGAGAAAUUCGGAUUAAUCCCCCAUGGUACUGAGACACCGCAUGGUGUUUCAGUUAAAGCUUCGGCGGUAUAAGAUGGGCAUGCGUCCUAUUAGCUAGAUGGUAAGGUAACGGCUUACCAUGGCGACGAUGGGUAGGGGUCCUGAGAGGGAGAUCCCCCACACUGGUACUGAGACACGGACCAGACUCCUACGGGAGGCAGCAGUGAGGAAUAUUGGACAAUGGGCGCAAGCCUGAUCCAGCCAUGCCGCGUGCAGGAUGACGGUCCUAUGGAUUGUAAACUGCUUUUGUACAGGAAGAAACACUCCCUCGUGAGGGAGCUUGACGGUACUGUAAGAAUAAGGAUCGGCUAACUCCGUG
rnacentral:rRNA from 1 species